rnacentral:tRNA from 1 species
GCCCUUGUAGCUCAAUGGUAGAGCGUUGGNUUUGANAGCCAAGGGUCGGUGGUUCNAUCCCGUCCAGGCC